CCCUUAGAUGUUCUGGGCCGCACGCGCGCUACACUGAUGCAUUCAACGAGCCUAUCCUUGACCGACAGGUCCGGGUAAUCUUUGAAUCUGCAUCAUGACGGGGAUAGAUUAUUGCAAUUAUUAAUCUUCAACGAGGAAUGCCUAGUAGGCGCAAGUCAUCAGCUUGCGUCGAUUACGUCCCUGCCCUUUGUACACACCGCCCGUCGCUCCUACCGAUUGGGUGUGCUGGUGAAAUGUUCGGAUCGGCCGUUUGUCGCGGUUUCCGCGGCUCGUGGCUGAGAAGUUCAUUAAACCCUCCCACCUAGAGGAAGGAGAAGUCGUAACA
rnacentral:rRNA from 1 species